UACGGAGGGUGCAAGCGUUGUUCGGAAUUAUUGGGCGUAAAGGGCGUGUAGGCGGGUAUGUAGGUCAGGUGUGAAAUCCCUCGGCUCAACCGAGGAAGUGCAUCUGAAACCGCGUAUCUUGAGUACGAGAGAGGCAGAUGGAAUUCCCAGUGUAGAGGUGAAAUUCAUAGAUAUUGGGAAGAACACCGGUGGCGAAAGCGGUCUGCUGGCUCGAUACUGACGCUGAGACGCGAAAGCGUGGGGAGCAAACAGGAUUAGAUACCCUGGUAGUCCACGCCGUAAACGAUGUGCACUAGGUGUUGGGGGUAAUUAAACCCUCAGUGCCGCAGCUAACGCAUUAAGUGCACCGCCUGGGGAUUACGGUCGCAAGACUAAA
rnacentral:rRNA from 1 species